rnacentral:rRNA from 1 species
GUAGGUGGCGAGCGUUAUCCGGAAUGAUUGGGCGUAAAGGGUGCGUAGGUGGCAGAUCAAGUCUGGAGUAAAAGGUAUGGGCUCAACCCGUACUGGCUCUGGAAACUGAUCAGCUAGAGAACAGAAGAGGACGGCGGAACUCCAUGUGUAGCGGUAAAUGCGUAGAUAUAUGGAAGAACACCGGUGGCGAAGGCGGCCGUCUGGUCUGAUUCUGACACUGAAGCACGAAAGCGUGGGGAGCAAACAGGAUUAGAUACCCUGGUAGUCCACGCCCUAAACGAUGUCUGCCGGUUGUUGGGGAUUUAUAUCUUCAGUAACGAAGCUAACGCGUGAUGCAGACCGCCUGGGGAGU